GUGCUCACUUUAGCUGCACAUAUACUAAAACUGGAACAUUACAGAGAAGAUUAGCAUGGCCUCUGCACAAGGAUGACAUGCAAAUUCAUGAAGCGUUCCAUGUUUUU